rnacentral:rRNA from 1 species
UCGGGAAUUUUGGGCAAUGGGCGAAAGCCUGACCCAGCAACGCCGCGUGAGGGAUGAAGGCCCUCGGGUCGUAAACCUCUGUCGGGAGGGAAGAAAGGUCUCUGUUCGAAUAGGGCAGGGGCUUGACGGUACCUCCAAAGGAAGCCCCGGCUAACUCCGUGCCAGCAGCCGCGGUAAUACGGAGGGUGCAAGCGUUGUUCGGAAUCACUGGGCGUAAAGCGCGUGUAGGCGGUCUGGUCAGUCGGAUGUGAAAUCCCGAGGCUCAACCUCGGAACUGCAUCCGAUACUGCCAGGCUAGAGUCCCGGAGAGGGUGGCGGAAUUUCCGGUGUAGAGGUGAAAUUCGUAGAUAUCGGAAGGAACACCAGUGGCGAAGGCGGCCACCUGGACGGUGACUGACGCUGAGACGCGAAAGCGUGGGGAGCAAACAGGAUUAGAUACCCCCGUAGUCC